rnacentral:SRP_RNA from 1 species
GCCAGGUGUGGUGGCUCACACCUGUAAUCCCAGCACUUUGGGAGGCUGAGGCAGGUGGAUCACCUGAGGUCAGGAGUUUGAGACCAGCCUGGCCAACAUGGUGAAACCCUGUCUCUA